GGGGAAUAUUGCCCAAUGGGCCCAACCCUGAUGCAGCCAUGCCGCGUGUGUGAAGAAGGCCUUCGGGUUGUAAAGCACUUUCAGUCGUGAGGAAGGUAGUGUAGUUAAUAGCUGCAUUAUUUGACGUUAGCGACAGAAGAAGCACCGGCUAACUCCGUGCCAGCAGCCGCGGUAAUACGGAGGGUGCGAGCGUUAAUCGGAAUUACUGGGCGUAAAGCGCAUGCAGGUGGUUUGUUAAGUCAGAUGUGAAAGCCCGGGGCUCAACCUCGGAAUAGCAUUUGAAACUGGCAGACUAGAGUACUGUAGAGGGGGGUAGAAUUUCAGGUGUAGCGGUGAAAUGCGUAGAGAUCUGAAGGAAUACCGGUGGCGAAGGCGGCCCCCUGGACAGAUACUGACACUCAGAUGCGAAAGCGUGGGGAGCAAACAGGAUUAGAUACCCUGGUAGUCCACGCCGUAAACGAUGUCUACUUGGAGGUUGUGGCCUUGAGCCGUGGCUUUCGGAGCUAACGCGUUAAGUAGACCGCCUGGGGAGUACGGUCGCAAGAUUAAAACUCAAAUGAAUUGACGGGGGCCCGCACAAGCGGUGGAGCAUGUGGUUUAAUUCGAUGCAACGCGAAGAACCUUACCUACUCUUGACAUCCAGAGAACUUUCCAGAGAUGGAUUGGUGCCUUCGGGAACUCUGAGACAGGUGCUGCAUGGCUGUCGUCAGCUCGUGUUGUGAAAUGUUGGGUUAAGUCCCGCAACGAGCGCAACCCUUAUCCUUGUUUGCCAGCGAGUAAUGUCGGGAACUCCAGGGAGACUGCCGGUGAUAAACCGGAGGAAGGUGGGGACGACGUCAAGUCAUCAUGGCCCUUACGAGUAGGGCUACACACGUGCUACAAUGGCGCAUACAGAGGGCAGCAAGCUAGCGAUAGUGAGCGAAUCCCAAAAAGUGCGUCGUAGUCCGGAUUGGAGUCUGCAACUCGACUCCAUGAAGUCGGAAUCGCUAGUAAUCGUGGAUCAGAAUGCCACGGUGAAUACGUUCCCGGGCCUUGUACACACCGCCCGUCACACCAUGGGAGUGGGCUGCAAAAGAAGUAGGUAGUUUAACCUUCGGGAGGACGCU
rnacentral:rRNA from 1 species